UACGAAGGUGGCAAGCGUUGUUCGGAUUUACUGGGCGUAAAGGGAGCGUAGGUGGUGGGGUAAGCCCCGCGGGAAAGCUCCAGGCUUAACCUGGAAAGGUCGCGGGGGACUGCUCCGCUCGAGGACGGGAGAGGAGCGCGGAAUUCCCGGUGUAGCGGUGAAAUGCGUAGAGAUCGGGAGGAAGGCCGGUGGCGAAGGCGGCGCUCUGGAACGGCCCUGACACUGAGGCUCGAAAGCGUGGGGAGCAAACAGG
rnacentral:rRNA from 2 species